AGAAAUUUGCUGAAAGGUUGUACAGUUGGCAAGUUGUAGAGCAAGAAUUUAAUGCCACACUUUCAACUUAGUGCAUGGCCUCUCAGGAGCUCACAAGGCUAUAACUGAGGUGUUGAUCAGGCUGUGGAGGCCUCCCUGUGCAAGAUCCACUUUUCCAAGCUUUUUCAGGUCACCUUGUUCUAGUGGAUAGAAACUGAGUCAAUGUGGGAAGAACCAGAAUUUGGAUAAAGUUCAUCAAAUGUUCACACAGAAAAAAGUGACUUUUCUGCACUGAAUUGCUUUUUUUUUAAAUUGAAUUUAAGUCAACGGUUCUGCAUUAUGAAGGCAAAGCUUCAAAUCUGUAAUAGAAAAACAGAAACAGAAUAUUCCCUGAA